rnacentral:lncRNA from 1 species
UGUGUUUACAGUAUUGGAGGGAUUCACAUCGUUGUUUUCUGGAUUAAGCUGCUAGGAGUAUCAUGUACUUAGAAAUUCAGUGUUUAUAGUAAGAUGUAUUAAACAUUGCUAAUGAUGUAUCGUUACAAUGUAUAACAGGUUUUCCAUUGUCAUAACUGUAUGGAAUUUUCUUGGAGGAUGUCAUUAGCUUCUGUUUGCACUGACUUGUGAGCUGUGUGUACGCUGUGGUCAGAUUUCUGAAUGCUGUAGAGCACUUACCAGCUCUGACCGUGUCUUGCUGGGGCCAGCAGGCUGCGUGUGCAGCGGGGCCAGCUGUCUCAGGGCUGAUAUGUAGACGUGUAUUCUGUUUACAAUUAGUUCCCCAACUCUGUGGGGAAGAACUUAAGCGGUUUUAGUGUUUUAUAAUAUGGUGAGGCAAUGAGGGUCAGGGCGCGUGGUCCCUGAGGGAGGGUCUUCAGGGCAAGACCCAUGGCCCUGGCCUGGAACUGUGCUCCCCAGGGCGUGGUGCCUCCCUAAGGGGAUGGUCAGUGUUCUGGGACUGACUGCCAGGCCAGCCCGUCUGCAGACUCCUGUGGUGGGAGUUCCCUGGGACGGGAAGCCCCUCGGCCCCUUCCCUCCAGGGGCAGGAACUGAGCCAGCAUGGGCGGGGCCGGCCGAGCUUCCAGGCGUGUUUUCUCUGUUAAAUGUACCUCUGUCUUUAAGCUGUCUCAUUUUCUAAUCGCUGGCAUGUCUUGCCUAGAAAAGCAUUUGGAAUUGCUUAUGUUCAAUUACAGAAAUAAAAUGUCUUACUUGCCAUUGUAGAAUUCCUGCA